UUACAUUACAGAUAGUCUUACGUGUACUGAAAACACUACAAAAGAAGCUAAAGGUUGUCUCUGUUUGAUAGGGUUCUCAAGAAAACAGAUACGCUCUUCUGUCUCAGAACGCCGUUAUACUAACCUAAAUUUGUGCUUCUCUCUUCUUUUUAUUACAGAGAUAGAAAACAGAUACGCUCUUCCGUCUGUCUUCCGUUUUCUUUAUUACAGAGAUAGAAUCACCGUCGGGCUCGGAUUCGCUUGGUGCAGGUCAGGACUGAUUGGCUGACACGACCACAGAGGUGCUUUUGCCUUAUUGGUUUGUAAGCAGGGAUUGGCUCCCGCCUUGCAUCAACUGAAUCGGAGCCUCCAAUGGUGAAACGAAUCCAAUUAGAUCUGUAAGAGAACUAGGAUAAAAGAGAGCUCUGGUUUCUUGAGAAUCAUAAAAGGUAAUUGUUUUAUGGAAAUCUUCUGGCUUUUUUUCUUUAAAUAGUUGAUUUAAGUUAAAAUCAUUAAUAAAAACAUAUGUGAUAAUUGAAGAAAAAACGGUUUGACAAUCCAUUGUAUACGCGGUAUGAUAUGAAGAAGAUAGAGAUCUCGUUACACGAGCAAUCUCUUGUCUUGGUUUUCUCUAAGAAGGUUCAUCUAUGUUUUGAUUUAGCUUCUUGAUGAAAACAAAUGUUUAUCUCUAGUCUUAUUUUAGGAGACACGCAGGUAAACUAUAUUAAUCUUGAUGGCCCGUUCUUACGCAGCCAGCUAUGUCAGAGGAGAAAUCGACAUACGUAAUCCCCAUUACCUGAACAACACUGAUGACUCUUGAUAUCAAGUUUUGAAGCUUCUGAAUAUCAAAAAUACAACAAGAGAAAAAGACUCUGGUGUUGUGUUCCCAGCUUCAAGAACUUGAUCAGUUUCAGUGAUUGCAAAGCAACAACUCCGUAUUUUUACAGCACUUGACCUGGAUCAAAACAACUGUACGUAUGAUGGACGAGUUGUUGACAAAAUGGAUUUCUUUUUCUGUACAAAUUGAUAUCUGAUGCGAAUAAAUGAGAAAAACCAGUAAUCAAACUUUGAUAACACU